UAAUAGUAAUAGUAAUAGUAAUAUAUAUUAACGUCAUCAAUGAAUUACAUGACAUGUCAAUCAGAACUUUUUACAAUUAUGUAAAUACUUAUGAAUAUAAUAUGUAUAUAUAAAUUCUCGCUACAAUGCAAUAAUCUGCGAUAAAAAAUACAAACACAAAUUUGGUACGAUAUACAUAAUUAACUAUGUUAAAAAAAAAAAAUAUAAACACAAAUUUGGCACUAUACAUAAUCUAAAACAAUGCAAGUACUAACGAAUCAGUCAAGGAACUCAUGUAAAAAAUAUAUAGUGUUCUGCAGCAACAAACUCUUUACUCGUUUAUGAAAUUGCAAUUUUCCCAGGCUCUUCACUUCAUCUGGAAGCUUGUUGUAGAAUUUGAGUCCCCAGAAAUUUGGACCAAGUUCCUCCUUCCUCAUUCUUAGACGGGGAGGACUCUUUCGGCAUGACUACUGUGUCCCCAAAGAAUUAUUCCAUAGACUGCCAAACUAUGGAAGGCACAGUAGUAGGUUUGCUUAGCUGUUGUUUGGUCAACUAUUUCUCUCAUUCGACGUAUCAUAAAUAUCGAAGUUGACAGUUUUUUGCAAAGUGUGUCGAUGUGAGUGGCCCAGCCGAGAGAAGACUGGAACUGCAAUCCCAGGAAAACAUGACCGGAAAAUAUCCAACAAACGGUCGUGAAAUUCUGUGAACUGAACAAUCGCACUAUCCGAACAUGUUUUCGUCCAGUCCUCGACUCCUAUGCAUUCUAGAAAAUGGUGAGUUUUGGUUGCGUUGAAUUCCCGUAUGAAUUUAUAUUUUCUUGUUUCAGGCUCAAGGUUGCAAACUGAAAAUCUCACGAUUUGGGCCAUAUGGUCUGAAAGAUAAGGCUGAAAAGUGAAUCUCCCGCCAGAACCGAUGCUGAUGUUGGAGAAAAUGUUGUCUAUACACGAGCUUGAUAUGUUAGUCACACGUGACGGCUCAGAGAAAACCACAUCCAGGUUAAACAUUUUGAGGACCUCGAUGGUUUUUUGUCGAUCUUUCGAGUUCUUCCCGAAGUCGAUGUUGAAAUCUCCCGAAACAAACAAUCGAUCAGUCGGAUAUAAGGCCUGACAUAAUUCGAGCACUUUUGUCAAAACAUCAAGGCACUGUGACACGUCACCAGAUGGCGGCCUGUACAGUGAGAGUAUCAAUAUUUUGUAUUUCGUCAGUCGGACGCCAGCAAGUUCUAUUUGUUUUUCAACAGAGUUAGAUUUUACUUCUAAUAAUUCCUUGAAAGGUAAAUCCUUACGGAGGACAAUAGCUGUGCCUCCGUGUCGUGAAGACUGUCUGCAAUAAGAACUAGCUACUUCAUA